rnacentral:rRNA from 1 species
UACGUAGGGUGCGAGCGUUGUCCGGAAUUAUUGGGCGUAAAGAGCGCGCAGGCGGUCGUUCAAGUCGCGUGUGAAAGCCCCCGGCUCAACUGGGGAGGGUCACGCGAUACUGAUCGACUCGAAGGCAGGAGAGGGUAGUGGAAUUCCCGGUGUAGUGGUGAAAUGCGUAGAUAUCGGGAGGAACACCAGUGGCGAAGGCGACUACCUGGCCUGUUCUUGACGCUGAGGCGCGAAAGCUAGGGGAGCAAACGGG